CCUACGGGAGGCUGCAGUAGGUAAUUUUCGUCAAUGGGCGCAAGCCUGAACGAGCAAUGCCGCGUGAACGAGGAAGGUCUUCGGAUCGUAAAGUUCUGUUGAAGGGGAAAAAGAGCGGAGAGAGGAAAUGGUCUCCGAUUGAUAUUACCCUUCGAGGAAGUCCCGGCUAACUACGUGCCAGCAGCCGCGGUAAUACGUAGGUGGCGAGCGUUAUUCGGAAUGAUUGGGCGUAAAGGGUGCGUAGGCGGCCUGCUAAGUCUGGAGUGAAAGGUACCGGCUCAACCGGUACAGGCUCUGGAAACUGGCGGGCUAGAGAGCAGGAGAGGGCGGUAGAACUCCAUGUGUAGCGGUAAAAUGCGUAGAUAUAUGGAAGAACACCAGUGGCGAAGGCGGCCGCCUGGCCUGUUACUGACGCUGAGGCACGAAAGCGUGGGGAGCAAAUAGGAUUAGAUACCCUAGUAGUC
rnacentral:rRNA from 1 species